rnacentral:ncRNA from 1 species
AAAGGCUUGGUCCUAGCUUUGCCGUCACCUUUGACCAGAUUUACACAUGCAAGCAUCCGCAUCCCCGUGAGAAUGCCCCCAACCCUCUUAUGAGAUCGAGGAGCUGGUAUCAGGCACACAACGUAGCCCAAAACACCUUGCUUAGCCACACCCCCAAGGGAUUUCAGCAGUGAUAAACAUUAAGCCAUUAGUGCAAACUUGACUUAGUUAAGGUUAACAGGGCCGGUAAAACUCGUGCCAGCCACCGCGGUUAUACGAGAGGCCCAAGCUGACAGAUAUCGGCGUAAAGAGUGGUUAGGUAAUUAAAAACUAAAGUUCAACAUCUUCCAAGCUGUCAUACGCACCCGAAAAAAUGAAAAUCUAACACGAAAGUAACUUUAAACCCCUGAACCCACGAAAGCCAUGAAACAAACUGGGAUUAGAUACCCCACUAUGCAUGGCCGUAAACAUUGAUGAGAAAAAUACUUAACAUCCGCCCGGGAACUACAAACACCAGUUUAAAACCCAAAGGACUUGGCGGUGCUUUAGACCCCCCUAGAGGAGCCUGUUCUAGAACUGAUAACCCCCGUUAAACCUCACCCUCCCUUGUUAUUUCCGCCUAUAUACCGCCGUCGUCAGCUUACCCUGUGAAGGAAAAAUAGUGAGCAAAAGUAGUAUAACUCAAAACGCCAGGUCGAGGUGUAGUAUAUGAGAGGGCAAGAAAUGGGCUACAUUCACUGACUAGUGAAUUACGAAUAAUCUGUUGAAACACAAGUUUGAAGGAGGAUUUAGCAGUAAAAGGAAAAUAGAGUGUCCCUUUGAAACCGGCCCUGAAGCGCGCACACACCGCCCGUCACUCUCCCCCAAAUACCUUUAAAACUUAAAUAAAACAAUUGAAAAACAAAGGGGAGGCAAGUCGUAACAUGGUAAGUGUACCGGAAGGUGCACUUGGUAUAC